ensembl:lncRNA
UCUACUACACAUAGCUACUUAUUAACUAACUCUACUAUCUAAUUAUUUUGUUUUCUCUCUCUUUCAGACAUCACUCAUGGAGCUCCAUCUACAGCUGAGGAUGGUUGAGAAGGGACUGAGGGGGGCCGGGACGCACGAGCGCUAAUGGCGACACAAGGCACCUACUACGCAUGCACGUCCUGACCAGACAUUGCUACCAAAAGUCUCCAAUGAAUGGCGCCAGGACACACCACCUACCGUGGAGCACCCACAGGGACAGCAGUCAAAGAAGAAGUGUCAGUUCAGUACACUGAACCAGUCAGACCAUGAGAGGUAAACACAACCCUUUCUGAUGGUUUGAAGAAAUAAACUGAGAACAAAAUCAAGGAGGAUUGAGAAAUUAUAGUCAGAGCACUUAUUGGAAGAUGAUGAACUACAUGAAGUCAGUGCUGGUUUCUUGGAUGAAGGCUCCAUUGAAUGCCGGACCACGUGUCCGCAGCCAAUUUGUCGCAUCCCUCUGGCCCCUCACAUACUUCUUCAUCCCAGGUGAAGGCUCCUUAUCUGUCACAAAGCCACGUCAUUCCUCAUCCAGCAGAUGGUGUUUUCUCCCUUAA